AUUUCACUCAAUUGCUUGAUACCUCUUGUUCCCUUCACCCAUUAGAUUUUAGACAACCUUUACAUCCAUUACAUACACCAAUUGAUGCUCCAUCAUUCACAUUUGGAAUCCAAGGGCAUUUGUCACACAUGUUGUUGCACAUUUGACCCAUUUGUUGACACAUUUCACCUCCCUUUCCAUCUCUAUGCAAUGUACACAAUCAUUCAUGCUCCCUAGCUGCAACACCACUCCAUUUUACCCUUCACACUUUGCAUCAUCGCUUCAUUUUCACCCUUGGACCAUUGCACACCACACACACCAACUUGCCAUGCAUUUCAUCCCUAGCCUAACCUGAUUUUCUAAGGUUUUUGGGGCCUAUAAAUACAUGUUUACACCCCUUGGCCAAAAAACAAUCCCCCAUAUUCAUCAUUUUAUCACAGAAAUUCGUCCAUACACACCCUAGGAAGCAAAACACCCCAAAAACACCAUUCUAGUGCCUAGAAAACAUAACAGCCACUUCACCUUCUUCCACCCUCUUUGCCUAGUUCUCCACCACCUUCCAACCAUCAAACACUCUUUCACACUCACCCUAAACCCCUCCAUAUCAUUCCCCAUCCAUUCUACACCAUAAAUCCACCCA
rnacentral:lncRNA from 1 species